rnacentral:rRNA from 1 species
GACGAACGCUGGCGGCGUGCCUAAUACAUGCAAGUCGAACGCACAGUUUAUACCGUAGCUUGCUACACCAUAGACUGUGAGUUGCGAACGGGUGAGUAACGCGUAGGUAACCUGCCUGGUAGCGGGGGAUAACUAUUGGAAACGAUAGCUAAUACCGCAUAAUAUUGAUUAUUGCAUGAUAAUUAAUUGAAAGGUGCAAUUGCACCACUACCAGAUGGACCUGCGUUGUAUUAGCUAGGAGGUGAGGUAACGGCUCACCUAGGCGACGAUACAUAGCCGACCUGAGAGGGUGAUCGGCCACACUGGGACUGAGACACGGCCCAGACUCCUACGGGAGGCAGCAGUAGGGAAUCUUCGGCAAUGGACGAAAGUCUGACCGAGCAACGCCGCGUGAGUGAAGAAGGUUUUCGGAUCGUAAAGCUCUGUUGUAAGAGAAGAACGGGUGUGAGAGUGGAAAGUUCACACUGUGACGGUAUCUUACCAGAAAGGGACGGCUAACUACGUG